ACAGUUACCUGCCAGAAGGAAUACCACAAUCAGGAAGGUGGUUUCCCCAUGGUGAGGUUCUUCCAUUGCAUGUCAUUUGCAUUGAUCCUUGUGAUUUCCACAAAUGUGGUAAACUCAACUGAAUUAUUCCUGGUAGUGGGGGGACUGCAUUUGAGCUGCCCCCUC